UGAAGAUCAUCACGUGUACAUCCUGAAACACUGGACACAUGGAUAAAGAGUUUAUGAGAAAGAGCGUUUUCCCCACAUCUGAAGCCUGAAAUAUUCACAGCAUUCUAGAACCACAUUUGGUGCAUCUGCAGUUUGAACAGAGAGGAAAUGAGUUGUAGACUAUCCAACUCAGGAAGCUGUACAGUCAACAUCCCUGGACACAAAGAUAGGAUACAGUCCAGGAACUACCAACUAAGAUUAGUGUUUUCACAAGUUCACUAUGCAACAGUGGUAAGUCAGAAUUAUUCAUCAAUCACGGUGAGUGAUGGCUUCUUCUUCUGCUAUUGUUGUUUGCACCGCUUGCCACAUAUAUAGCUUGCCACAUAACUCUCUCCUUUGGCAACGAAGGAUACACAUGUGAUAAAUGCAGUCAAAUAGUUAGGCUGAUAAAUCCCCUGUGAUGUUUGUACUGGCUACUGUAUAUAGGCCACAAGGGCACCAUACAGACUUUAUUAAAGAAUUUGCUGAUUUUCUAUACGAAUAAGGACUGGCUGCAAGUUUUCAGUGCUAAUGAUUUUAAUAUCCAUGCUGAUAAUGAAAAUGAUGCAUUGGGAUCAGCAUUCAUAAACAUUUUGAACUCUAUUGGGCUUAGUCAACACAUUUCAGGACCUACUGAUUGUCUAAAUCAUACUCUAGAUUUAAUACUGUCACAUGGAAUUGAUGUUGAUGGUGUUUAAAUUUUGCAGCCAAGUGAUGAUAUCUCAGAUUAUUAUCUAGUCCUGUGUAAACUUCAUAUAGCUAAAACUGUAAAUUCUAAACCUUGUUACGAGUAUGGUAGAACCAUAACUUUUACCAAAAAAGACUUCUCUGUAAGCAAUCUUCCUGAUUUAUUUCAAUUCCUCAGCAUAUCCAAUAGUUCAGAACAACUUGAUGAUCUCUCUUUUACACCGUGGUUUAAUAAGAACAUUUAUACUCUAAAGAGAGCCAGCUGGAGGAAAACAAAACUAAAUGUAUUUUGUAUUGUUUGACAGGAAAGUACCCUAUCCUAUACAGAAAAGCAUUAAAAACUGCUAUAUCAGAUUACUUCUUUUAGAAGAAUCCACACCUAAACCCAGGUAUUUAUUCAAUAUAGUGGCUAAAUUAAACAGGUGUUGAAAUAUCCCAACAGCACAGUAGUAAUGACUUUAUGAACUACUUUACUUCCAAGACCGAUACUAUUAGAGAUAAAAUUGUUACCAUGCAGCUGUCAGCUACAGUAUCACAUCAGUUACACUGAUUCUCUACUAUAGGAGAGGAAGAAUUGCAUAAACCUGUUAAAUCAUCUACAACAUGUAUGUUAAACCCUAUUCCAUCUAAGCUCAUAAAAGAGGUGCUUCCAGAAGUCAUAGAUCCUCUUCUGAUUAUUAUUAAUAUGUCAUAGUCAUUAGGGCAUAUGUCCCCAAAACCUUCAAACUGGAUGUUUUUAUGCCUAUCAUAAAAAAACUUGACCCAAAUUAAAUAAUUAAUUACAGACUGAUCUCAAAUCUCCCUUUUCUGUCCAAGAUACUAGAAAAGGUAAUAUUCUCAAAAUUAUAUUCCUUCUUAAAGAAAAAUGGUAUAUGUGAGGAUUUCCAGUCAGGAUUUAGACCGUAUCAUAGUACUGAGACUGCUCUCCUUAUAGUUACAAAUGACCUGCUCUUAUCAUCUGAUCGUGUUUGUAUCUCUCUAUUAGUGCUAUUGGAUCUUAGAGCUGCAUUCGAUACUAUUGACGACAACAUCCUUUUGAAUAGACUAGAAAACUUUGUUGGCAUUAGUGGAAGUGCAUUAGCAUGGUUCAAAUCAUAUUCAAAUCAUCUGACCCCCAUCAAUUCAUAGCAGUGAAUGAAGAGGUAUCAUAUUACAAGUGCAGUUUGGAGUACCUCAAGGCUCAGUACUAGGGAUGUUACUUUUCACACUUUACAUAUUACCAUUGGGAGAUAUCAUUACUUUUCACU